rnacentral:lncRNA from 1 species
AAAUUUUAAAGAUGGAUAAAUUAUCCUAAACAUGAUCUACUGAAGACUGCUUUCAUACUUGAUUAUUUGCCAAAUUUCCUCGAUAAUUAAUGGAAUUCUUUUGAAUGAGACAUGUAUAACCACCUGGAAUUUCUUGGCUUUGACCUGACAAGUUUCCUUGUCUUCAGGAUGGUUGUUGUAUUUACGCCUACCAUCAUGUCUUCCUAGUCCCAUUCGACAAUGUAAGUAAGCAACCUGAUGUUUUGGCCUUCCAACAGUCUAUCCUUUGUCUCCCCACCCCACCCUACCUCCUUUCUUGUUUUAUUUAUUUAUUUGCAUCAGAUGGUAACAUGCAUAUAUAUUACCAUUACUUGAUAACACUCAAGUGAAAAAAACUGGGACAGCAAAUGACUCAUGUUUUUCCAAACGCUCAGCCACAUUGCGUUGUAGUCAUAACAAACGGCAGUGUGGCUAUACCAAUGUAUAACAGUAAUAUAUUUUCCAAGUUACAAGUAUAAGCCCAAAGUCUUCCCCUCUUUUAAUGUUUUGACAAGUCUGAUUAUAGCUAAGAAUGUGAUAACGAUCACAUAAGAGCAUGAGAAAAACUGCUUCGGGCACAGGUAAAGGGGCAACGGCUCUCUAUUCACCAAGAAGAAUUUAAGUGGCUUUCUUGGGUCUUUGAGAUACAAAACAAGUUGUUGCCUAGUUCUUUUGAAUCAGCACUACAUUAUUAUAUUCCUUAUACUUUUUUGUUUUUAAUUGAAACUCUAAAGUGGACAUAUGAUACUAUUUAAACUACAGUAUACUGGAAAAUAUUAUCUGCCUUAAUUAUAAAAACAUGGUUUUGGCUUUUUAAAAAAUAUUAAACAUUAUCUUGAGAUACCUGCCACCAUAUUCAAUAUGAUUUUUUCAGCAUUGAUGACAUACUCAUUUGUGCUCUAUUUUGUACUCUUCUUAGAGUAAUUUAUCCUGGUUCAUAGUUUAUAACCUAUAGAAUGCUUAUUACUAAAUAGCUUGAUAUGGAGUGGUGAUUCUGAGGCAUUGUCAAAAUUUGCUAACAUAUUCUAUCAAUGUAGAUUAUUUUAAUUACAUAAUUUUUUUAAGAUGAAGUAUGUUGGAUGCGCUUGAAUGAGUUAUGUUAUACUUCUGUAUAUGACUCAGAAAACAUGGCACAGUUAUCUCGGUUUAAAAAAAAAACUCCAGAAAUGACCAAGAAAAUGGAGGGUAUGUGUUUUCUUUUCUAUGGUGAUGUGGUUCAUAUUAAUGUCAGUAUGCCUUGCCAGCUACAUUUCCAAUUGUGUAUAUAACCCAACUACAAUUAUUAGUCACCACGUGGAGGUUUAUAAGUAGCUUUGGGCAAUGCUAGCAUCCUAUGGUAACCUCGCAUUUUCAAGCAUCCGGAAUGGGGAUCUCUCAGCCUGUGGCUGUUGGACAGCGUCACCCUUAAUAAUACACCAAACACAGGGUUAAAGUACAACCGGUAUAAUUUGUUCACUUGUUACACUUUUAAAUCUGCAAACUUUCUGGUUUUUAUUUUUGUGUUGUUUGUUCUUUAGUUCUCUGGAGGCUGAGUUAUAAAUAACCCCUUACAUUUCUCAGAAGCAGAGACUUUUUAUACAUUUCUUACUUUUAAGAAAGACUUAUUUUCACUGUUUGAAGCCCAUGUAAAUUACAAACGCAAUAGUCUGGAAGAGGAAAAGAGCUUUAGCUUCUAAAUUUGCUUUGUUCUAUGAGAUCUAAAUUCACCCCAUUUGUCCAGCUAUUAUGGCAGAACUCCAUAAUAAAACUAAUUUGGAGAAACAAGGACAUGUACGUCAUUGGCCAUCUGAAUGACAGUAAGAGUGAAUGCCCUAUCUCACUCCAUUUAUCACUAUGUACAAAACAGGCUUGAUUUAUACGUAGUAACACCUAAUUCAUGACAGUGCAAGGCUUUUUGGUAUUUUACUAUAAGGUUAGGCUAUGUAUGAGUCUAACUGACAAAUGUCCUUGAUCAUUUUAUUCAUAUUAAAUAGAGAAUAUUUAGAAGAUAAAGUUAUAAAAGAAUGUACACAUUUUAAAACCUAGAUUUAAACCCAAUUCUGUCAAGGUGAAGGGAGUAAAUUAUUAUCAUUUGAAAGUGUAAGUUUUUUGUUUUUGUUUUGCUUCUUAGGCUACACCUGCAGCCUAUGGAAGUUUCCAGGCUAGGGGUCUAAUUGGAGCUACAGCUUCCAACCUACAAUACAGCCACAGCAAUGCAGGAUCUGAGCCAUGUCUGUGACCUACACCAAAGCUCAUGGCAAUGCCAGAUUCCUGGCCCACUGAGUGAGGCCAGAGAUCAAACCCUCAUUCUCAUGAAUACUUGGAUUUGUUUCUGCUGCACCACAAUGGUAACUCCCAGGUUUUCUUUUUUUUUUUUUUUCUUUUAAAUUUUAGGAACCCUGAAGAAAUUACUUGAUAAAUAGUUCUAAAAGAACAAAAAAACAAGUAUGAAGCAACAUAUUCACAUUUUCGUUCUAGGAUCUGGCCCCAUGAACAUUAUUUAUGCUGGGAUUCUUGGCAAGGUCACUUUGUGUCCUUGGAAAGGUUUAGCAAAUGUGUACAGAAUCAGCCUGUAGGAUGAGGCUUUAAGAGGAUUGAAUAUGCAGAUGACUUCAUUUCCAACAUUAAAUUUGAGUCUACUUGGAAAGUUUGGGAAGGGACCAUAAGCUUUGCCCCUUUUCUUUCUAUUCCAUCUCUUCCUUUUGUGCAUGUUUGGUUACUGUUACAGCAUUCACUAAUAAAAUCAUUUAAAACUUAAGGGAUUAGAAUGCCUGCUGCCAGCAAGCCGCUUUUCUAAGUACUAUAGGGAAGUCAUUCAUGUAUUUAAUACUUCCAAUUUGUCACAUUUGGUGCCUAGGACAUAAUAUUGAAUAUGACACAGGAUGUGUACUCAAGGAAAUUACCUUACAGGGAGGAAGAAAACAAAUAUUUAGGAUUAAAACAUGGUAGUUAUUACUAUAAAUGUAAGAGUAAAAUGCUGGGAAACUAAAUAGAAGGGGAACCUAAUUUAGUGAUGAAGUGAGAAAAAGUAUCCUGGUAGAAGUGACAUCUCAGGUGAGUCCAAAAAGAUAAAUCAAAGUAAAUUUGAUGAAUGCGGAAAAGUGAGAAAGGAAGACAGAAAGUGUGUGCUAAGCAGAGGGAGGGCAUCCACAAACUCCUGGAGGAGAGAGUAAAGAGAAACCCACAGACAAAUGGACAAGAGGAAGAGGCCAAAGGAGAGUCAGAAAGAGAUAAGGGAAAGGGAGAGAAUAAUUAUCAAUGGUUACCUUCAGGAAAUUGCAUGCUCAAUAUGGCUGGAGUAUAGGAUGAGAAUAGGGACAUAGCAAGAGAUAAAACUCAAGAGAUGAGUAGAAUCAGAUAUUAGGGCUUUGCUUUUUGAUUCAGGGAAUUUAAAUUUAUCCCAAGGGAAAUAAUAACCAAUGAAGAUUCUACUGGGGAGUGACAUGGUUAGGUUUGCAAAACCGCUUGGACUUCCGCAUGAGAUUAGGUUGGAGGGAUGCCAGGCUGGAAGUAGAAGCGACUGCAGUGAAUCCUGGAAAAGCAAACUGGUGGUUGAUGCUAUGAGACUGCAUAGACUCCAAAGAUAUUUAAAAGGUAGAAGUGCUGGACUGGUGAUUGAUUGUGUGUAGGUAGGGAAGAAAAAUGAUAAAUUAAGGAUGACACUCUAGUUUCUGAGUUGGAAGAGUAAGUACAUGGGGGUGCCAUUUAUUGACAUCAAAAUCACAAAGGGAGAAAUAGAUUUGAGGGAUAGAAGGAUGAGGAACAUAUAGAAGAUGAUGAGUGUGAAAUACCAAGGUGACAUCCAAGUUGAGAUGCCUAGUAGGACAUUGAAGAUACAGGUUAAUAUCAGGAGAGAGAUCUGAGCUUAAGUUUCUAUAAACCCCUCUUGGAUAUCAUACUGAUAUUCACACAAUAUGACAUAUAGAGUAUAUGGUAACAUGGAACCACAGAGUGGAUGAGAUCAUCUAGGGAGAGUGUAGGUUAAAAAAUAAUAAUAAUACAAAAAUUUAAAAAAAAUUUAAAAAAGAAAGAAAAAGACCUUAAAGUCAAACUCAGGGGUUAAACUGUAAAGUAUAAGAAGAAUUUCAUCAAGGAAUGUUUAAAACAGUAGAAGGAAUGAGAUGUACAAAAAUGACUAUAAGAAAGUUGUGCCCAAGAGUCAACACCCAGGUAUUGGGAAAAGGUAUUGGAGCCAGGAACAGCCUCAUAGAAAAGCGGAUAUUUAGGAGAUUAUUUUGAAAAUUUUAUGUGGAAGUUCUCAGCAAGAUAAUUAAAAAGUUGGGUUGAAGUUGCAUUACAGAAGUUUAAGGGAAACGUCCCUCUGAGUGAAUGUGUCUAGGAAAAACAGAACCAGAAACCUCAAACAGGCACAACCUAGAACCUGCCUGGCCAGACGGUGAGUGGUGAGUACACCUCAGCUGGGGGUGGGUGGGGUCUAGUCAUGUGUGUCUCCUUCACUCGUGAAGGUUUGAACAGUUUCCUGUUUCUCUUUGCGAUGUGUGCAAUGACUAAUAUUUUAAAGUGUUCUGUUAUAAAUGUAGCAUACAUAUGUAAAAAAAUAGGUGUCUGUUGGCACUUAUUUGAAUGCGGCAAGUAUUAUCAUCUUAUUUUGAGCAAGAGGUCUCAUCUCAAUACACAGAGACAGAAACAAGGGGCCUCCUAACAAGUCCCUUGGUAAACUUAUUUAUACAAGCCUUUUUUUCUCCACAACUAGUUAAUCACAGGACUGGGGACUGGGGUUUCAUCACAUUGCAAUGGCUCUUUCUUCACUCUAUUAGUCAUCCAAGUUUGAUCUUUUUUUUAAAAUCUUUUUAGGGUUGCACCCUCAGCAUAAGGAGGUUCCCAGGCUAGGGGUCAAAUCGGAGCUGUAGCCUCUGGCCUACACCACAGCCACAGCGACGUGGGAUCCACGCCAUGUCUGCGACCUAUACCACAGCUCAUGGCAAAACCAGAUCCUUAACCCACUGAGCAAGGCCCCAGAUUGAACCUGUGUCCUCAUGGAUGCUAUUCAGAUUUGUUUCCACUGAGCCUCAACGGGAACUCCAAGUUUGCUUUUUUUUUAAUUUGUGUUAGUUCCUUCAAUACCACUGGCUUUUCAGCCUGCAAAUUAGAUCUCUUUACCAAACGCUAAGCUAUUUUUUUUCUCCUAUCAUUCAAGAUACCACUGGGGAUCAAUCUACUCUAGGAAACCUACUCAAACCACAUAUGGGAAAUACAAUAUACUCCAUGGAGAGAAACAAUGGCAUGGAUAAUUUUUUUUUUCCUCUUUUUUUUUUUUUCCCCACUUUUUAGGGCCCCACCCAGAGCAUAUGGAAGUUCCCAGGCUAGGGGUUGAAUUGGAGCUACAGCUGCCAGCCUACAUACACCAGAGCUCCAGCAAUGUGGGAUCCGAACCAUGUUUGCAACCUACACCACAGCUCAUGGCAACACCGGAUCCCUGACCCACUGACUAAAGCCAGGCCUUGAACCCACAUCCUCAUGGAUACUAGUCAGAUUCAUUUCUGCUGCGCCACAACAGAAACUCCUUGGAUAAUUUAUACAAAUGUUCUUAUUCCAUGAGUUAAGUAAUGCCUUAGGGUAGAUCUAUAUCCUUGGGUCUGAUUUGCUUUAUAGAAUCUCUUCACCACCUCAUUUUCCACGUCCUCUAAUUCAGACCAUAUAUUCUACCUUAUUGCUCAGGUUUGUGUCGUUUUUCCUGAGGAUUCCUCAUCUGCCUUUCCUCGUUGCUGUUCACCUAUGAGUCUAUUAAAAAAAAAAAAAAAACAAGCGGAGAAUAUUCAUAUUCAAAAAUAGCUGGCAAGUAAGAAGAAUUGAUCAAGGCCAGGAAAUGUUUUACUUCUACUCCUAGAAUAGGUUUUAACUUACUAGGUGAUUGAAGGAGACAUAUUAGAGGUGAAAGACCAUAAGCUUUGGGGUUCAUAGACCAAGGAGACCCCACGAUUUGCUUUGUAAUAUUACUUAAGUUAUUUAAUAUUUUCCAGCUCAGAUUCUUCAUCUAAAUUGGUGACAAGAAUACCUACGUGGGAGUUCCUGUCGUGGCACAGUGGUAACGAACCAGACUAGUAUCCAUGAGGACAUGGGUUUGAUCCCUGGCCUCGCUCAGUGGGUUAAGGAUCCAGCAUUGCCACAAACUGUGGUGUAGGUCACAGACGCAGCUUGGAUCUGGUGUUACUGUGGCUGUGUUGUAGGCCAGCAGCUACAGCUCUGAUUCGACUCCUAGCCUAGUAACUUCCAUAUGCCGCAGGUGCAGCCCUAUAAAAACAAACAAAAAGGAAAAAAAAAAAAAAAAAAAAAAAGCUUACAUGGCAGAGGUAUUUUAUUUAUUUAUUUAUUUGUUUGUUUUUAUUUUCACUGUACAGCAUGGGGACCAAGUUACACAUACAUGUAUACAUAAUUUUUCCUCCCAUUGUUGUGUUGUGAUGUAAGUAUCUAGACAUAGUUCUCAAUGCUACGCAGCAGAUCUCAUUGUAAAUCCAUUCCAAGAGCAAUGCAAAUUAUUCAUGUAUUAAUUUUUCUUGGAACUACUACAUAUGCCAUUUCUGUAUUAAACGUAAGAUAUAAAAAUGAAAGCAAUCUCCUGCCUUCAGAGAUCUGUAAUAGAUGAAAAAAAAAACAGAAACAAAAUCAAAUGAUUGAAUAUUUUAAAGUGGUAUGUUGGGAGUGGGUGUAUAAUACAGUGAAGGCAGAAAAAGGGAAAUUUUAUAUUUUACUUUGGAGGAUGGAGAGAUCAGUUAGGGAAAUCAGCCUGUAAAUUAAAGUGCUCAAUUGUAUAUAAAAUAGAUAAUUAACAAGGACCUACUGUAUAACAUAGAGAAAUCUACUCAAUAUUCUAUAAACCAAUAUGGGAAAAAAGAAUGGAUAUAUGUAUAUGUUUAACUGAAUCCUUUUGCUGUACACCUAAGACAAAUACAAUAUUUUAAGUCAACUACACUCCAAUAAAAUUUUUAAAAAAAGGUGUUGACAGUGAGCUAUAGUGGAGGAAGGAUAGGCUAUAAGGAGUAGAUAUUCCACAUAUUCAUUAAUACAGUAAUUCUUUCAGCACACAUUUAUUGUGUGCCCCUUACAUAGUGGUGAGCCUCAUGGUGAAUAAAAAGAGAUGAUUUCUCAGCUAUGCAUGUAUAUCCUGUCCUCACAGUGCAUACAGUCAAUGUGGAAGUGACACAGCUAUGUUAACAGAGCACUCUUAACAGACCUCCACUUAACUGACUUGGCAAAUUAACUAAUACUAUCAAUUGCUUUUGCAAAACAAACUGAUUAAUAUUCCGGGCUCAGUGAAAGCUCACAGCCAGUAGGCUACGCUCCAGUAAGCCUACACACUUCUCCUCUCAUUUGUUGAGUUGCACACUUGCCAAGAAUUAGUUGUGUUUAUGCCCAAACUAUUUAUGACAGUUGACUUAUUAUUGUAACCAUGUAAUAUAAUUAAACGUUGCUUACAUAAUUCAGUGAAAUAGAGUGUAAAAUGAAAGACUUGUUUCUUUGAAAAUUAAGUUGAAUAUUUUGGAAAGACACAAGAGGAAUCAUUGAAAAUAUUUCUAUAAAAAUUAUAAAAAGGUUAUACAACCAGAAAAGACUCAGAAAAAAAGUCUUAAUAAUCCAGAAAAUUUUACAUUCAGAUUAGUUGGCAAAUGUGUAGCUUUUCACUCUGUUUUAAGUUAUCACUCCACUUUAAAUAAAGUGAAACUAAAACUUACACAUGGUGCACUAUGGUGGCUCUUUAACCAACAUACCCAUCUCCAAAUUAAAAUCCAUAGCCUUACAGCAAAAAACUGGUGAUGUGCAUUUAAAGUAUUAGGACAAAAAAUAAAAAAUAAAAACAAAAAACAAACUUUAAGGUAUGUACAUAACAUUUUUAAAGCUCCUCAAUUUGAUUCUACUUUAAUUAUUAGCAGUCAUAUAUGAUGAAAAGCUUCUAGUAGAGAAAUUGAUGUAAUGAUAUGGAAAUACUGGGACCUUAGAAAGAAUUAAUCAAUCCUAGAGAACAAGAGCUCUGAAGCAGAGUAAGCCAGGCCAAGGAAAGAGGUAGGGUAAAGAUAGCAUCCCAUGCAGACAAAACAGAGACCAAAAAAAAAAAAAAAAAAAAAAA